AGAUGUGUAACCAUUCAGAAGAGUAUUAGAAAAGUUAAGCUAAGGUAACUAUCUGAAUAUGCUAUUUGUACAAAGAAUAUUCUAACUGAAUGACACUGAGUUGUGAGCUACCUUUGCAAUAAGCUAUAAAUCGAAGAUAGCAAAUUAACUUGGGUUUUAAUGCGUAAAAUAUACUCAGAAAUUGUUUGAGUACCUUUCUUUGUGUUACGAAGCUCAGAUUCCAAAAGCUUUGGUCAAUGAGUGAUAGAGCUGGUGUAACUACUCCCAUAUUUACCACACGUGCUUGGAACCAAUAACCCGUGGUUGAACUGAUUCUGACAGCGACUGAGGUAGCCAGGACGCAAGAUGCUAAUCCUGCUCCUCCCUAUCUAAAUAAGCAGGACCCA
rnacentral:lncRNA from 1 species